GCCCGCAGGGGAGCCCUAGCACAGGUGCUGCAUGGCCGUCGUCAGCUCGUGCCGUGAGGUGUUGGGUUAAGUCCCGCAACGAGCGCAACCCCCGCCGUUAGUUGCCAGCGGUUCGGCCGGGCACUCUAACGGGACUGCCCGCGAAAGCGGGAGGAAGGAGGGGACGACGUCUGGUCAGCAUGGCCCUUACGGCCUGGGCGACACACGUGCUACAAUGCCCACUACAAAGCGAUGCCACCCGGCAACGGGGAGCUAAUCGCAAAAAGGUGGGCCCAGUUCGGAUUGGGGUCUGCAACCCGACCCCAUGAAGCCGGAAUCGCUAGUAAUCGCGGAUCAGCCAUGCCGCGGUGAAUACGUUCCCGGGCCUU
rnacentral:rRNA from 1 species